UACAGAGGUCCCAAGCGUUGUUCGGAUUCACUGGGCGUAAAGGGUGCGUAGGUGGCCAGGUAAGUUUGGUGUGAAAGCUCGGAGCUUAACUCCGAAAAGUCAUUGAAUACUAUCUGGCUGGAGGGUCGGAGGGGAGACUGGAAUUCUCGGUGUAGCAGUGAAAUGCGUAGAUAUCGAGAGGAACACCAGUGGCGAAGGCGAGUCUCUGGACGACUCCUGACACUGAGGCACGAAAGCUAGGGGAGCGAAUGGG
rnacentral:rRNA from 1 species